UACGUAGGUGGCGAGCGUUGUCCGGAUUUACUGGGCGUAAAGGGAGCGUAGGCGGACUUUUAAGUGAGAUGUGAAAUACUCGGGCUCAACUUGAGUGCUGCAUUUCAAACUGGAAGUCUAGAGUGCAGGAGAGGAGAAUGGAAUUCCUAGUGUAGCGGUGAAAUGCGUAGAGAUUAGGAAGAACGCCAGUGGCGAAGGCGAUCCUCUGGACUGUAACUGACGCUGAGGCUCGAAAGCGUGGGGAGCAAACAGG
rnacentral:rRNA from 1 species